rnacentral:rRNA from 1 species
AGCGAACGCUGGCGGCAGGCCUAACACAUGCAAGUCGAACGAACCUUUCGGGGUUAGUGGCGGACGGGUGAGUAACACGUGGGAACGUGCCUUUAGGUUCGGAAUAACUCAGGGAAACUUGUGCUAAUACCGAAUGUGCCCUUCGGGGGAAAGAUUUAUCGCCUUUAGAGCGGCCCGCGUCUGAUUAGCUAGUUGGUUGAGGUAAUGGCUCACCAAGGCGACGAUCAGUAGCUGGUCUGAGAGGAUGAUCAGCCACAUUGGGACUGAGACACGGCCCAAACUCCUACGGGAGGCAGCAGUGGGGAAUCUUGCGCAAUGGGCGAAAGCCUGACGCAGCCAUGCCGCGUGAAUGAUGAAGGUCUUAGGAUUGUAUAAUUCUUUCACCGGGGACGAUAAUGACGGUACCCGGAGAAGAAGCCCCGGCUAACUUCGUG